rnacentral:rRNA from 1 species
UACAGAGGUGUCAAACGUUGUCCGGAAUUACUGGGCGUAAAGGGCGCGUAGGCGGUUGAAUAAGUCAGAUGUGAAAUCACCGGGCUCAACCCGGUAAUUGCAUUUGAAACUGUUCGACUUGAGUUGGGUAGAGGAGGGCGGAAUUCCUGGUGUAGCGGUGAAAUGCGUAGAUAUCAGGAGGAACACCUGUGGCGAAGGCGGCUCUCUGGUCCCAUACUGACGCUGAGGCGCGAAAGCUAGGGUAGCAAACAGG